rnacentral:rRNA from 1 species
UACGAAGGGGGCUAGCGUUGUUCGGAAUUACUGGGCGUAAAGCGCGCGUAGGCGGUGAUCUAUGUCAGAGGUGAAAGCCCGGGGCUCAACUCCGGAAUUGCCUUUGAAACGGGAUCGCUAGAGUCCGAGAGAGGAUGGCGGAAUUCCUAGUGUAGAGGUGAAAUUCGUAGAUAUUAGGAAGAACACCGGUGGCGAAGGCGGCCAUCUGGCUCGGUACUGACGCUCAGGCGCGAAAGCGUGGGGAGCAAACAGG